rnacentral:lncRNA from 1 species
UGGUGCCCCUUUUCUUUCAACUAAUGCCCAUUUCCCAUUAUCGUAAGUGCUUUUUCAUUCCUGAUGAGUGCCGCCUUUUGUAGUUUUAAGAAGAGCCCAAUUUUCACCUCUUCAAUUAUAACCUUUAUCGCAUAACUUCAUAAAAAGAUGAUUUCAAAGUUGUUUGGGUUAUGAACUUGUAUUAAUAUGGACAAAUAUGGCUGUUGUGUCAGAGAAAAUGACGCGCAUGCUGUGAGAUUUUAAGGAAAGGAAUGAAUAUGAGAAAAGUUGAAAGGACGGGAGAGAGAGGGAGAGGAAGAGAUGAGGGGAGACGGGGUAUAUAGAGAGAAAGAAGAGAGAGAGAGAGAGAUGGGGAGGGAGAGUGAAAGAAGGAGGGAAGAUAGUGAAGAGAUAAAGGGGGCGGAGUAGAGAGAGACUGGAAGAAAAACAAAAGAUCGCUACUAUAUUCACCCCUAAACUUGAUUUACUAGUAUGUGCUCGCGCUCGCGUGGCCCUAUAGCUGUCACAUUCCACCAGCCUUCAACCACCAAGUCCCCAGAGAAACAAAUUUAUCUCUUAUCUUGCUGACAUAAGUAUAUCAGUCAACGACUGGAUUCUAAUCUCAAUUUCUUGCUGAGAGACUUGAUGCAUGGACCUACUACAAACCAUGCUUGAUGACAGAGAAAGUGCAUUUUACGCAAUGUAAGAGUACACAGGCAGGGAGGAAGUUUCCAUUGAUUUAGGUUUCCACCCUAGGACCAGGGACUUGGAACUUGAAGACUGCUAGGACCUACUUCUUGGUAACUUUUAUGUACUUUAAUAUACCAUGUAGGGACUUCCAUGCUAAAAAUAGCUAUGCUAAGCUGAAAGCAUGUUUUUUUUAAUCACCGUAUUUAAAUAAAUAAACAAACAAAACUGGCUCACUGCUAUGCAAUAUCAAGAGCACGUUCGAAGCUCCCGGUAAUUCAGAUUGUAUUGCACAGAGAUGGUUCUCCAGCCACGUAAUGAUCUAAUUAGAAGAUAAAAAGGCAUUCUCCUCGUGGCCAUCUUUUUCCCUUUAUUAUUUCAUAUAUCAUGUCUUCCUCUUUCCAACAUUUACUACCUAGUCUCACGGAUCAAUCUACGAUACAGGUUGGUAGAAAGUGAUGAGGCACUUUAUACACAAAAUGAUGUGCCUGAUGUUGGCAAGUGCAUAAACGCCUGGUGAUAACCGUGAUAUUGGUAUUCAUUUUCUUCAAUCAAUUUUUUUAUUUUCCGUCGACUUACUUUUUGUCGUAAAAGCCUGUAACAUCAGUGAUAUAUAAUUGAUUUCGCUUCUCUCUUCUCUGCGAUCUAUUUUGUCAAGCGCCUGGUGAUAUUGGCAUUCAUUUUCUUCAAUCAUUGUUUUCGUUCCGUCGACUUACUUUUUGUCGUAAAAGCCUGUAACAUCAGCGAUGUAUAAUUGAUUUAGCUUCUCCCUCCCCUUCGAGCUAUCUCUCUUGUAUUUUGUCAAUGUCCUGGUGAUAUUGGAAUUAUUUUUUUCAUUCAUUUCUUUCGUUCCGUCGACUUACUUUUUGUCAUAAAAGCCAGUAACAUCAGCGAUAUUUAGUAUAAUUGAAUUCACUUCUCUCUUCCCUGCGAUCUAUCUCUCUUUUAUUUUGCCAAGCGCCUGGUGAUAUUGGAAUUCAUUUUCUUCAUUCAUUUCUUUCAUUCCGUAGGCUUACUCUUUGUCAU